GGAUGAAGAACGCAGCGAAAUGCGAUAAGUAAUGUGAAUUGCAGAAUUCAGUGAAUCAUCGAAUCUUUGAACGCACAUUGCGCCCGCCAGCAUUCUGGCGGGCAUGCCUGUUCGAGCGUCAUUUCAACCCCUCAGGCCCUAGCGCCUGGCGUCGGAGGCUUUCCCCCCUCACCGGGGAACCUCUCAGAAACAGUGGCGGACCCGCCGCGGCUCCGAGCGCAGUAGUUAAAAAGCGUGUCGCUCUGGAGAUCACCGCGGGGAGCCUCGCCGUUAAACCGGGCCGGUGACCUGGCCCACGCACAAGGUUGACCUCGGAUCAGGUAGGAAUACCCGCUGAACUUAAGCAUAUCAAUAAGCGGAGGA
rnacentral:misc_RNA from 1 species